AGUCAGGUGGUUUACAUGGUAGAGCACUCGACAUCCAAUCGUAGAGAUGCAGGUUCGAGUCUUGGCUUGGUUC
rnacentral:tRNA from 1 species